rnacentral:rRNA from 1 species
AUUCAAGUAUAUUAAGGGCACCAGGUGGAUGCCUUGGCGUCGGAAGGCGAAGAAAGACGUGGACGGCUGCGAUAAGCCUCGGGUAGGAGCCUAACAUCCUGUGAUCCGGGGAUUUCUGAAUGGGGCAACCCGGCGGAAGCGAUUCCGUCAUCAUUGACUGAAUUCAUAGGUUAAUGAAGCUAACGCAGGGAAGUGAAACAUCUCAGUACCUGCAGGAAAGGAAAUCAAACGAGACACCCAAAGUAGCGGCGAGCGAAAUGGGUAUAGCCCAAACCGUCAAGUUACGAUUUGGCGGGGUUGUAGGACCGCAACAAUUGAUCCGUGAGUAGGCAGGGGAACGAGCUGGGAAGCUCGGCCACAGAGGGUGAGAGCCCCGUACCUGAACCUGAAAGCGGCAAGAGCGGCACCUGAGUACCGCGGGGCACGUGAAACCCCGUGGGAAUCUGGGAGGACCAUCUUCCAAGGCUAAGUACUAACCGACGACCGAUAGCGAACUAGUACCGUAAGGGAAAGGCGAAAAGAACCCCGUCGAGGGGAGUGAAAUAGACCUGAAACCUGUUGCCUACAAGCUGUGGGAGCGGAAUAAUUUCCGUGACCGCGUGCCUUUUGCAUAAUGAGUCAGCGAGUUACUUUGUCCAGCGAGGUUAAGCGAGAAGCGGAGCCGUAGCGAAAGCGAGUCUGAAUAGGGCGUCAAGUUGGGCGGAGUAGACCCGAAACCGAGUGAGCUAUCCAUGGGCAGGUUGAAAGACAGGUAAAACUGUGUGGAGGACCGAACCGUCAACGGCUGAAAACGUUCCGGAUGACCUGUGGAUAGGGGUGAAAGGCCAAUCAAACUCGGUGAUAGCUGGUUCUCCCCGAAAUAUAUUGAGGUAUAGCCUCGAGGAAUUGUCUUGCGCAGGUAAAGCACUGACAGAGCUAGGGGUCCCACCAGAUUACCAAACUCUAUCAAACUCUGAAUGGCGUUAAGAUUUACCUCGGGAGUCAGACUGCGGGUGCGAAGAUUCGUAGUCGAGAGGGAAACAGCCCAGAUCUACAGCUAAGGCCUCCAAAUCCAUACUCAGUGUGAAAGGUGGUGGAGUUGCUCAGACAGCCAGGAAGUUGGCUUAGAAGCAGCCAUCUUUUAAAGAAAGCGUAAUAGCUCACUGGUCUAGUGACUCCGCGCCGAAAAUGUAACGGGGCUAAGUAUGGUGCCGAAGCUUAGGGAUCCGCUUUGCGGAUCGGUAGGGGAGCGUUCUCAAUGGGACGAAGGGUCGCUGUAAGGCGGCUUGGACUUUUGAGAAGUGAUUAUGCUGACAUAAGUAACGAUAAAACGGGUGAAAAACCCGUUCGCCGUAAACCCAAGGAUUCCUGGGUCAAGGUAAUCUUCCCAGGGUUAGUCGGCCCCUAAGGCGAGGCUGAAAAGCGUAGUCGAUGGGAAACGGAUUAAUAUUUCCGUACUUGCAUAUGUAUGUCCGGAGGGACGCAGAAGGAUAGACCGGCAUCCUGUUGGAUGGGUGUGAAAGGCAGUAGGCUGUAUGGGUUAAUCCCCCAUAUAAGGCCGAGAGCCGAUGCGAGUGGCAACACGAGCGGUUAAUUCCCGGCUGCCUAGAAAAGCUCCAGGUCUUAGCAUAUGUGAACCGUACCGCAAACCAACACAGGUGGGUGGGUAUAAAAGUACCAAGGCGCUCGAGAGAACUCUGGUUAAGGAACUCGGCAAAAUAACCCCGUAACUUCGGGAGAAGGGGUGCUUGUCUAUGUGAAGAGUAUACAUUCAGAGCAUGGACGAGCCGCAGUAAAAUGGCGGUGGCGACUGUUUACUAAAAACAUAGGUCUCUGCGAAGUCGUAAGACGAAGUAUAGGGACUGACGCCUGCCCGGUGCCGGAAGGUUAAGAGGAGGGGUUAGCGCAAGCGAAGCUCUGAAUCGAAGCCCCGGUAAACGGCGGCCGUAACUAUAACGGUCCUAAGGUAGCGAAAUUCCUUGUCGGGUAAGUUCCGACCUGCACGAAUGGCGUAACGAUCUCCGCACUGUCUCAACCAGAGGCUCGGUGAAAUUGAAUUGGCGGUGAAAAUGCCGUCUACCCGCAGCGUGACGGAAAGACCCUGUGCACCUUUACUAUAGCUUGACAUUGAGUUUUGGGCUGGCAUGUGUAGGAUAGGUGGGAGGCUGUGAACUCUGUACGCCAGUAUGGAAGGAGCCACCCUUGAAAUACCACCCUUGUCAGUCUAAGACUCUAAUCCCGAACCCGUAAUCCGGGCGGGAGACCGUGUCUGGCGGGUAGUUUGACUGGGGCGGUCGCCUCCCAAAAUGUAACGGAGGCACGCAAAGGUUCCCUCAGCCUGAUUGGAAACCAGGCGCCGAGUGCAAACGCAUAAGGGAGCUUGACUGCAAGAGUGACAGCUCGAGCAGGGACGAAAGUCGGUGUUAGUGAUCCGGUGGUUCCGAAUGGAAGGGCCAUCGCUCAUUGGAUAAAAGGUACGCCGGGGAUAACAGGCUGAUCGCAUCCAAGAGUCCAUAUCGACGAUGCGGUUUGGCACCUCGAUGUCGGCUCAUCACAUCCUGGGGCUGAAGCAGGUCCCAAGGGUACGGCUGUUCGCCGUUUAAAGUGGUACGCGAGCUGGGUUUAAAACGUCGUGAGACAGUUUGGUCCCUAUCUGCUGUGGGCGUGGGAUAUUUGAGAGGGCCUGUUCCUAGUACGAGAGGACCGGGAUGGACGAACCACUGGUGGACCUGUUGUCGUGCCAACGGCACAGCAGGAUAGCCACGUUCGGAAGGGAUAACCGCUGAAAGCAUCUAAGCGGGAAGCCUGCCUCAAGAUAAGAUAUCCAUGUAGGAAUACGAGAGUCCCCUUGUAGACCACAAGGUUGAUAGGCCGGAGGUGUAAGCACGGUGACGUGUUCAGCUUACCGGUACUAACAGGACGAACACUUGAAUAC